rnacentral:rRNA from 1 species
CAACAUGCAAGUCGGACGUUCCGCAAGGGACGUGGCGCACGGGUGAGUAACACGUAGCUAACCUGCCCCGAAGAGUGGGAUAACCCUGCGAAAGCAGGGCUAAGACCGCAUAAGCUCGCGAUGUGUAGAGGAUUGCGAGAAAAGAACUUCGGUUGCUUCGGGAGGGGGCUGCGACCCAUCAGGUAGAUGGUGCGGUAACGGCGCACCAUGCCAACGACGGGUAGGGGACCUGAGAGGGUGAACCCCCACACUGGGACUGAGACACGGCCCAGACUCCUACGGGAGGCAGCAGUGAGGGAUAUUGCACAAUGGGCGCAAGCCUGAUGCAGCGACGCCGCGUGGGUGAUGACGGUCUUCGGAUUGUAAAACCCUUUUCUGGUUGACGAGCAAGGACGGUAGACCAGGAAGAAGUGUCGGCUAACUACGUGCCAGCAGCCGCGGUAAAACGUAGGACACGAGCGUUAUCCGGAGUUACUGGGCGUAAAGGGCGUGCAGGCGGCAGGGUAAGUCUGAUGUGAAAGCUCCCGGCUCAACCGGGAGAGGACAUUGGAGACUGCCAAGCUCGAGGCAGAUAGAGGGAUGUAGAAUUCCGGGUGUAGUGGUGAAAUGCGUAGAGAUCCGGAGGAAUACCAGAGGCGAAGGCGGCAUCCUGGGUCUGACCUGACGCUGAGACGCGACAGCAUGGGGAGCGAACGGGAUUAGAAACCCCGGUAGUCCAUGCCGUAACGAUGUGUACUGGUGUUCACUCUCGCAAGAGAGGGAGCGCCUCAGCUAACGCGCUAAGU